CACUCACCCCGUGUUGUCAUCAUCUGCCGGCAUUGCCUGUCCCCGAGCUCGUCUGUGACCUCGAAGGCAGCUCUCCGUCAGCUCCAUCCACAUCGCCACCCUCUGUGUGCCUGGCACUGGCAGCUAACCAUGGAGUUGACUGCGUUCCACCUCCUUUUCAAGUUCACUUCUCCAGGGUGGUGGAAAUGAGAAUCCCAGAAUCCCUGAGGAAUCCAUGAGACUCACGAAGCAAAGCACCUAGCUAGGCCCGGGGCGCCGUAAGCCCACACAGAUGUCGGCUCCCUCCCUCCUGUGCCAUUAACACACGUGUGACCUUCCUCAAAGGUGAUGAAAUCAUGGGGCCCCAGGUCACAUGGCUUGUCGAGGGCGCCUCAGCUAACCCAAACCAGCCCCUGAGACUUCCACUCAUCGAGUCCCAAUGUGUCUACCUUCCUUAACGCAGAGUAGCUUGUCUCUCUGCUCGGUGGCGCUGUAGACCAGCAACAUCCACCCAUCAAGACGCUUGUCCCGCUGAGGUCCUCGGAACUGACAGCUUCCAUCUUGAACAAAUAGACUAGUGUUCAUUUGGAUGUUCUCGGGCUCACGUGGCACCCACUCCAACAGCUGCUUGCCGAGUGAAUUUAGACAAUGUUCUGGAUGCCAGUUCUCUCAUUGCAAAUGGGAAGAGAUUUACAAAGCAGCAGCCGCUUGUCUUGCGGAAAUAAUUACGGGUCAAAGUCUCCAAAUCCCUGAGCUGCCCCGGGUAUGUGUCCCAGUCCUGGGAGCCAGAGCACCCCACCCCAGGACGACCCUCUUCAGAGAGCAAGGGUGGCAUACACCCCAAGAUGACAGGCAAAGGCUAGGAGGCUGGAAGGGAGAAAUAAAUCCCGAGUCAACGAGAAGGAUUAAA